rnacentral:rRNA from 1 species
UGGGGAAUAUUGGACAAUGGGCGAAAGCCUGAUCCAGCAAUGCCGCGUGGGUGAAGAAGGUUUUCGGAUUGUAAAGCCCUUUUGGCAGGGACGAUGAUGACGGUACCUGCAGAAUAAGCCCCGGCUAACUUCGUGCCAGCAGCCGCGGUAAUACGAAGGGGGCUAGCGUUGCUCGGAAUGACUGGGCGUAAAGGGCGCGUAGGCGGUUUGUACAGUCAGAUGUGAAAUUCCUGGGCUCAACCUGGGGACUGCAUUUGAUACGUACGGACUUGAGUGAAGAAGAGGGUCGUGGAAUUUCCAGUGUAGAGGUGAAAUUCGUAGAUAUUGGAAAGAACACCGGUGGCGAAGGCGGCGACCUGGUCUUUAACUGACGCUGAGGCGCGAAAGCGUGGGGAGCAAACA